AUGGAGCAGGAUACACCUUCGGCUCAAAUGCGGUGGGCUGUGGUGGGGCCUCCUGGAGGGCUUCCUGGAGGAGGUGCCUGGGAGGGAGGAGUUGCUCCAGGCGGUGGGAGGAGCCGCUCUGCUGUUUACAACCUUCUUCUCCCCUACUGGUCUAGGUCUCUGAUCCCAGCCGCUCUGCUCUGCGGGGUUACUGCGGGGAGGAAGGGGAGGGGAGAGGAGGGACGGCCUCCCACUGGCCUGGGGUGGGAGGGCCCUGGUCCCUGGGUCACCGCCUGCUGGGACCUGAUUUCCCUGACACCUGGAGUGCCGAGUCAGCUGGGCAGACUGAGGAGCCGACCAGGCAGUACCCAGGUUGACCUGCAUCCUGCCAUGGGAAAGGCAGGCUCCCGUGCUCGGUUCCUUUGUCCAGACCCUUGCCUGACCUCAGGACAUCCAGGAGAAUCUUGCCAAAGUCCUGAGGAGGAGUUGGCGGAGGCCAGGCUUUGUGGGUCUGAAGUGAUGUUCUCUAAAGACCUCACACAUGUACGCUCCACUUGGGGGUGCUUCGGGGGUCUUCAUGCGCGGAGCCUGGUCCCAGAGCAGAAGGCAAGACCGACCGGGGCCCUGAGCCCUGGGGCCGACAUCGUUGAGCUUCGGGGACUCUCGGGCCCUUGUGUCUGGAGCCCACGGAACCCAAGCAUCGACUCGUCUUGCUUGGGGUGUCCACAGCAGGCGAGGAAUUCCAGCGGUCUCCGUCUCGGGAGCCAGCAUUUCAGCACUCUCGCACACAGGACAAGCUUCUUGUAGGCUUUCGAUUUGCACUGAAACAAUUGGGUUUUCCAGCUUAUGUAAUGGUUUGUUGAUUGGUUUAUUAAAUCUGGUUAAAGAUUACUCUUUUUUUUUUGUACCGGGGAUUGAACUCGGGUCCUUGAGCUUGUGCAGCAGGUGACGAAACCACUGAGCUAAAUCCCCAGCUCUAAAGAUUAUUCUUAUGUAGGUGUUUCAAAACGAAGAUUGUAGCAAUUUCUAGAAAAAAUUCUGUUUAU
rnacentral:lncRNA from 1 species